rnacentral:lncRNA from 1 species
GCACUGCACUACUGCACGCCUGCACUGCACUGAGGCAAGAGUAAUGGAGAUCGACCAGAGGAGAAGAACUCGCCAUCCCCUCAUGCCAUCAUCGCCAUCGCCAUAGUCACCAGCCUUCUUCUUCUCUCUCUGUGUGUGAAUGUGGCUAGAGUGAUGUUCUUCUUCUUCCGUGAUUCAGUUGACCUCGACUGUGGAACAGUGGCAGCCAGUUAGCUCUGCCCCUGCUGCAAGUCAAAGAUCAGCAAUUUUCUAUGGUGAGUGGCACUGCUCCUAACAUUCUUUGUCCAAGGG